rnacentral:rRNA from 1 species
GUUCCUACGGGACGCAGCAGUGGGGAAUAUUGCACAAUGGGGGAAACCCUGAUGCAGCAACGCCGCGUGAAGGAAGACGGUUUUCGGAUUGUAGACUUCUGUUCUUAGUGAAGAAGAAUGACGGUAGCUAAGGAGCAAGCCACGGCUAACUACGUGCCAGCAGCCGCGGUAAUACGUAGGUGGCAAGCGUUGUCCGGAAUUACUGGGUGUAAAGGGAGCGCAGGCGGGAAGCCAAGUCAGAUGAGAAAACUACGGGCUUAACUUGGAGACUGCAGGUGAAACUGGUGUUCUGGAGUGCAGU